CGGACGGGUGAGUAAUGUCUGGGAAACUGCCUGAUGGAGGGGGAUAACUACUGGAAACGGUAGCUAAUACCGCAUAACAUCGCAAGACCAAAGAGGGGGACCUUCGGGCCUCUUGCCAUCGGAUGUGCCCAGAUGGGAUUAGCUAGUAGGUGGGGUAACGGCUCACCUAGGCGACGAUCCCUAGCUGGUCUGAGAGGAUGACCAGCCACACUGGAACUGAGACACGGUCCAGACUCCUACGGGAGGCAGCAUG
rnacentral:rRNA from 1 species